ACCUCGUGGUUUGGACAAUGCAUUAGUUUUUCAUUGAAUCUUUCCCAUGCUUCAUACAAAGUCUCUUCAUUCAAUUUUCUAAUGUUAAUGAUUUCAUCCCUCAGUU
rfam:Capsicum annuum cultivar Zunla-1 chromosome 1, whole genome shotgun sequence